GAUCUGCUCAGGAUGAACGCUAGCUACAGGCUUAACACAUGCAAGUCGAGGGGCAUCAGGGUGUAGCAAUACACCGCUGGCGACCGGCGCACGGGUGAGUAACACGUAUCCAACCUGCCCUUUACUCGGGGAUAGCCUUUCGAAAGAAAGAUUAAUACCCGAUGGUAUAACAUGACCUCCUGGUUUUGUUAUUAAAGAAUUUCGGUAGAGGAUGGGGAUGCGUUCCAUUAGGCAGUUGGCGGGGUAACGGCCCACC
rnacentral:rRNA from 1 species